rnacentral:rRNA from 1 species
GAUGAACGCUGGCGGCGUGCCUAACACAUGCAAGUCGAACGGAGUCGUUUUGGAAAUCUCUUCGGAGAUGGAAUUCUCGACUUAGUGGCGGACGGGUGAGUAACGCGUGAGCAAUCUGCCUUUAAGAGGGGGAUAACAGUCGGAAACGGCUGCUAAUACCGCAUAAAGCAUUAAAUUCGCAUGGUUUUGAUGCCAAAGGAGCAAUCCGCUUUUAGAUGAGCUCGCGUCUGACUAGCUAGUUGGCGGGGUAACGGCCCACCAAGGCGACGAUCAGUAGCCGGACUGAGAGGUUGAACGGCCACAUUGGGACUGAGACACGGCCCAGACUCCUACGGGAGGCAGCAGUGGGGAAUAUUGCGCAAUGGGGGAAACCCUGACGCAGCAACGCCGCGUGAUUGAAGAAGGCCUUCGGGUUGUAAAGAUCUUUAAUCAGGGACGAAACAAAUGACGGUACCUGAAGAAUAAGCUCCGGCUAACUACGUG